AUGCGUGUAUACGUUAACUUACGAUAGGAGAUAGAAGAUAGGAGAAGACUAAUACAGAUGUAUGGACGUAAUAUAUACACGCAAUUAUGUACAAGUAUAUUGUACAUACAUGUGUGUAUAGAUACGUACAUGGAUGCGAAUCCAUUGGGAACGAUUUAUCGUCGCGAAAGUAUGCCAGUGAGUUAUUUCGUUUCAAGUUUUACUGUAAAGAAAACUCGUGCAAGCAUGAUAGAGUCCAUACCUGAUGAGAUGUCGGUGUCGGAGCACAAGGCUUUACUUUGGCGGAAAACUUUCCGACAACGAUCGCUAAAGGGUUACAGGCGCAUUACGUAAGAAUGUAUAUUUAUUGUGAUUAAGAACGCUGGUGUAUCAUAUAUGAGCACGUGACUUGUUUCAAAGAAGAAAUCGAUGAGAUUUACAGAGAUUAUAAUGUCAGUGGGAAAUUUAGACACUCACCGUCCUACGCGAUUCAUUCUAUGAUGUUCUUUCUCUGUUAUGUGUGUUGUAUUGUUUUGUUUGAUACUGAACAUUACACAGGCCAAGCUGUAAUUGCAAUAAUGAAUAAAUUCAUUAAUCGAAUCCAAGUACGUCGAGCAAAAAGUUUGUCCUGGUUGGAAACAAUUUAAUUAACAUCUGGCGAAGCUUAAAGCAAGAUGCAAGGGUAUUAUGGACGUAUAUGGUACCAACUAAUUUUAGUGAAAUUGAGAUUCAAAAUAAUGAUAAAAGUAAAAUUUUAUUUUUUU